CCUACGGGCGGCAGCAGUGAGGAAUAUUGGUCAAUGGACGAGAGUCUGAACCAGCCACGUAGCGUGAAGGAUGACUGCCCUAUGGGUUGUAAACUUCUUUUAUAUGGGAAUAAAACGUUCCACGUGUGGGAUUUUGUAUGUACCAUAUGAAUAAGGAUCGGCUAAAUCCGUGCCAGCAGCCGCGGUAAUACGGAGGAUCCGAGCGUUAUCCGGAUUUAUUGGGUUUAAAGGGAGCGUAGGUGGAUUGUUAAGUCAGUUGUGAAAGUUUGCGGCUCAACCGUAAAAUUGCAGUUGAAACUGGCAGUCUUGAGUACAGUAGAGGUGGGCGGAAUUCGUGGUGUAGCGGUGAAAUGCUUAGAUAUCACGAAGAACUCCGAUUGCGAAGGCAGUUCACUGGACUGCAACUGACACUGAGGCUCGAAAGUGUGGGUAUCAAACAGGAUUAGAUACCCUUGUAGUC
rnacentral:rRNA from 1 species